UACGAAGGGGGCUAGCGUUGCUCGGAAUCACUGGGCGUAAAGCGCACGUAGGCGGAUUGUUAAGUCAGGGGUGAAAUCCUGGAGCUCAACUCCAGAACUGCCUUUGAUACUGGCGAUCUUGAGUCCGGGAGAGGUGGAGUGGAACUGCGAGUGUAGAGGUGAAAUUCGUAGAUAUUCGCAAGAACACCAGUGGCGAAGGCGGCUCACUGGCCCCGGUACUGACGCUGAGGUGCGAAAGCGUGGGGAGCAAAC
rnacentral:rRNA from 1 species